AGCGCGGCGUGACAGCUGCUCUAGCGCUGCUCUCGCUGCCCCUGGAGGACUGGCGCGUGGAGAGCGGGGCGUGGCCGCCCGCUCGGAAGGCGCAGAGAUGCUGAGCGGCCCGGUUUGAGUCCUGGCUUGGGCCAAGCUCAGCCUGAAGGAGCUUGAACCUCUGCCCCGGACCGGGCACGGGGCCGCCGGCAAUAGGCCAGCCGUGCCUGCGCUCCAGGGAAAGGCGCUUAGUCUGAGCUGGGGUCUCUGCAGCGGUGGGCAGCGCCGAGCACCUGAGACCGGAACAGCUACGUCUCCAUCCCGGGGGGAAGAAAAUACAUCAUCCAAAGAUGACAUCUUGACAACAUUUGGGAAAUACGGCUGAUGGAAACAUUUUAAAGAGUCAACAUUUGGAAGACUGAAUCCAUCAAAUUGACCUUAAUUAAAGCAGGCUGCCUUUUCUGUUUGUAAAAUAUGAACUUGAAAUAGCUAACACCACUCAAUACACUAUUUAUAAAAUC